rnacentral:rRNA from 1 species
ACGGGUGAGGAAUACAUCGGAAUCUACUCUGUCGUGGGGGAUAACGUAGGGAAACUUACGCUAAUACCGCAUACGACCUACGGGUGAAAGCAGGGGAUCUUCGGACCUUGCGCGAUUGAAUGAGCCGAUGUCGGAUUAGCUAGUUGGCGGGGUAAAGGCCCACCAAGGCGACGAUCCGUAGCUGGUCUGAGAGGAUGAUCAGCCACACUGGAACUGAGACACGGUCCAGACUCCUACGGGAGGCAGCAGUGGGGAAUAUUGGACAAUGGGCGCAAGCCUGAUCCAGCCAUACCGCGUGGGUGAAGAAGGCCUUCGGGUUGUAAAGCCCUUUUGUUGGGAAAGAAAUCCAGCUGGCUAAUACCCGGUUGGGAUGACGGUACCCAAAGAAUAAGCACCGGCUAACUUCGUGCCAGCAGCCGCGGUAAUACGAAGGGUGCAAGCGUUACUCGGAAUUACUGGGCAUAAAGCGUGCGUAGGUGGUCGUUUAAGUCCGUUGUGAAAGCCCUGGGCUCAACCUGGGAACUGCAGUGGAUACUGGGCGACUAGAGUGUGGUAGAGGGUAGCGGAAUUCCUGGUGU